UACGAAGGGGGCUAGCGUUGCUCGGAAUUACUGGGCGUAAAGCGCACGUAGGCGGUCUUUUAAGUCGGAGGUGAAAUCCUGGAGCUCAACUCCAGAACUGCCUUCGAUACUGGAAGACUUGAGUCCGGGAGAGGUGAGUGGAACUGCGAGUGUAGAGGUGAAAUUCGUAGAUAUUCGCAAGAACACCAGUGGCGAAGGCGGCUCACUGGCCCGGUACUGACGCUGAGGUGCGAAAGCGUGGGGAGCGAACAGG
rnacentral:rRNA from 1 species